rnacentral:rRNA from 1 species
CUACGAAGGUCCCAAGCGUUAUUCGGAAUCACUGGGCGUAAAGAGUACGUAGGCGGUUUGGUAAGUCAGGUGUGAAAUCCCGGAGCUCAACUCCGGAACUGCAUCCGAUACUGCCAGACUUGAGUAAUGGAGAGGCAGGUGGAAUUCUCGGUGUAGCAGUGAAAUGCGUGGAUAUCGAGAGGAAGACCAAUGGCGAAGGCAGCCUGCUGGACAUUUACUGACGCUGAGGUACGAAGGCUAGGGGAGCGAAAGGGAGUAGAAACCCCAGUAGUCC